rnacentral:lncRNA from 1 species
CCAGGACCAGCAGGGUGCUCCCACCCCACCUCCACUGGUGCCUGACUCCCAGUCCAGGGAAACAGAGGUGCCUUUCCCACAUCAAGAAACCCAGGAGACUGUGCACUGCCUUGCCCCAAGAAGGAAAGAAGAGGUGAAACUGGAGCUGCCGACUGAUGGGGUGUGUUCUUGGCAGGAUAGCCCAGCCUCAGUUCCUCAAAUGCCUCAGCGACCACCAACGUCUGAUAUGUUAGUGGUUCCCAUUGUGAAGGACAUACCAUUCCUGGAUAAGGCUGUAAAAAGGCGUCUGGAGCGUCACAUUAUAAAAAAGCAGAUACAGCGGUGCUUUGGGCUGCCAGCAAAGGUCCUGGCCUAUGAGAAGGACUUUGUAGAACCUAUCCUGGAGCAACAAGAAUCCCAGCCCCCAUCUUCGCAGAGGCGCACUGGGCAGCCCUACUGGUCACCCUUCCAGCAGUGGGACAGGCGCACCACAAAGUCAGCAGUGCGACCCCCUGGCCUGCAGCAAGAGUCCACAGCCCAAAAGAAUACAUGCACACGAGGGACACAGACACCAGCCCACUUUGUGCCAGCAGCUAUUUCAAGAGUGGCACAAGGGAUGCCUCAGGAGGAUGGGAAGAGACCACAUUGGAAAAGGGAGUCUGGAGGAACAGCCAGAAGCAGCAGCAUGACCAGCAAGAAGACUAUGCCUUGCACCAAGAAGGAUCAGGGCUCUGGGACACAAAGUGAUGGUCAAGGUACUUCCCCUUCCAUCCAGGAAGAGCAGGCACCACCACUGAGCGAGGGAGCUCCCCAGGGGCAAUCAGGACAGGACUGUGUGAGCCCCAUCAUCUCCACUGAGACACAAGAAUUGCAACUGGAGAAGAAUGUUCCCAUGGGAGAAGCACAGCACUCCCAGGAAGGCCAGAGCGGCAUCAGUGGGGAUGUGUGGUCACCUGAGCUGCCAUCCAACAGGACAUCUUCUCCAAGAAGUAGUUCCCCACAGACACAGCGCUGCUCUGAUGAGACACCCUCAGCUCUGCCAGUGCCUCCAGACUCUGCUGGGACCAGUAUGCAGAUCCCCUACCUGGAAGAGCUGCUCACAACACUCGUGGACUGCUUCAUGGCCAGAACAGCUGCUGAAAACCUGCAGAACCAGCUGCUGGCUUUAUGGCUGGAGCAGAAUUCAAGCACGGAGCAUGCAGCAGAGCACCCCGUUGCCUCACCACACAGAAGACCAAAAGAAUCACAGAAGAGCAAGAGGCACACCCAGGAUGGAUCUGGCUCCAGGAGACGCUGCCCCAAGUGCAGCAGAUCCCCGCACCACAAC